rnacentral:rRNA from 1 species
UUAAAUGAAUUGACGGGACCCGCACAAGCGGUGGAUGAUGUGGUUUAAUUCGAUGCAACGCGAAAACCUUACCACCUUUGACAUGUACGGAAGUUGCCAGAGAUGGCUUCGUGCUCGAAAGAGAGCCGUAACACAGGUGCUGCAUGGCUGUCGUCAGCUCGUGUCGUGAGAUGUUGGGUUAAGUCCCGCAACGAGCGCAACCCUUGUCAUUAGUUGCUACGAAAGGGCACUCUAAUGAGACUGCCGGUGACAAACCGGAGGAAGGUGGGGAUGACGUCAAGUCCUCAUGGCCCUUAUAGGUGGGGCUACACACGUCAUACAAUGGCUGGUACAAAGGGUUGCCAACCCGCGAGGGGGAGCCAAUCCCAUAAAGCCAGUCGUAGUCCGGAUCGUAGUCUGCAACUCGACUACGUGAAGUCGGAAUCGCUAGUAAUCGUGGAUCAGAAUGUCACGGUGAAUACGUUCCCGGGUCUU